rnacentral:rRNA from 1 species
AAUAUUGCACAAUGGGGGAAACCCUGAUGUAGCGACGCCGCGUGAGCGAAGAAUGCCAUCGGGUCGUAAAGUACUGUCCUAAGGGAAGAAAGUGACGGUAAUUUAGGAGGAAGCCACGGCUAACUACGUGCGAGCAGCCGCGGUAAUACGUAGGGGGCGAGCGUUAUGCGGAAUUAUUGGGCGUAAAGGGUGCGUAGGCGGCCUUUUAAGUCAGAUGUGAAAGGCUACGGCUUAACCGUAGUUAGCAUUUGAAACUAAAAGGCUUGAGUGCAGGAGAGGAGAGUGGAAUUCCUAGUGUAGCGGUGAAAUGCGUAGAUAUUAGGAGGAACACCAGUGGCGAAGGCGACUCUCUGGACUGCAACUGACGCUGAGGCACGAAAGCGUGGGGAGCGAACA